CAAUAGCGUAUAUUAAAGUUGUUGCAGUUAAAAAGCUCGUAGUUGGAUUUGUGGCGUACGGUGUGUUCCGGGCACUUGUUGUCUGAGUAACCUGCUGUUGCCAUCCUUGGGUGGAACCUGUGUGGCAUUAGGUUGUCGUGCAGGGGAUGCCCAUCAUUUACUGUGAAAAAAUUAGAGUGUUCAAAGCAGGCUUAUGCCGUUGAAUAUAUUAGCAUGGAAUAAUGAGAUAGGACUUUUUUGCUAUUUUGUUGGUUUGCGCAAAGAGGUAAUGGUUAAUAGGGACAGUUGGGGGUAUUCGUAUUCCAUUGUCAGAGGUGAAAUUCUUGGAUUUUUGGAAGACGAACUACUGCGAAAGCAUUUACCAAGGAUGUUUUCAUUAA
rnacentral:rRNA from 1 species